GGAUACGAUAAAGCAACCGUUGCAAAUCAUUUGAACUUUGUGCCAGUACAUCAUAAAUAGAACGAGGGAGCAGUUUACUGUCAGGAAUUUGUUUUUGCAUUGCGCCGCUAUUCAGUGUUAACAGCAUCACUGAUUAUAAUGAGUUCUAUGAGUUCUAUAAUAUUUUGUCACGCUGCGAUCAAUGUGAAAAGAGCUUCAUAACACAACUAAACCGUAGAUACCGCAUGACCAUUCACACCGGAGAGAAACAUUUCAUAUGUGGUCAAUGUGGAAGGCAGAGAUGUUCACAAGUCUUUAACUUGGAGUCUGAGUCAAGUCUGAAGUCUUUAUCGCUGGAGUCUGAGUCAAGUCUCGAGUCUUUGGUCACUAGUCUGAGGCUGCGUUUACACUGGAAGAAAAAAUCAGAUUUCUUGCCCACAUCUAACACCGAUCGGAAUAUGAUUCAUGCGUGUAAACACAAAAAUCAACACGAGAUCCGAUUUUUUCGCAUCCGAUUUCAGCCGUUUCCAAAUGUGGUUUUAAAUCAGAUACAUAUCCGAUAUCUGGACAUCCGACCUACGUCUAAACACGCAUGAAUAAUCAAAAGUCCAUCCAGAAUUCGAGGGUCAGUCGUUGCGCUCAUUGUCAUUGAAAGCCAGUGAAAUUAUUUUAGGCGGGAGAUUAGUGUAAACACAGAUAUUGGAUACGAGGCGUGUCUAAAGUGAAUGUAAACAGACGUGCCAAAAAAUCAGAUAUGGUGAAAAGAUCGGAUCUGUGCAUUAAGACUUGAGGUGUAAACACAGCCUGAGUCGAGUCUCUAGUCAUUUAAUGGCUCGCUAAAAUAAUUCCAUUCAGAAUCUUCAUGUUUUGAAAUCUUCCUAUUUACGAAGCUGUUUAGACAAACUAUAAUAUAUUAUAUUUUUAUUAAUAAUGUAUGAUAUGACUUAAUAAUGAGGCGGUUUCUCGGACAGGGUUUAAAUUAAGACAGGAGUAGGCCUUAAUCUAGAAUAGUUAAUCAUGGCUUUAAAAAUGGCUUUCUGAUUCACAGAUUAAGUACAGAUUACUAACACCUGGACUAGAGUCCUGAACUAAAAUAAACUUGAUUCAUUUAAAACCACCUGUGCAAAUCAGAACUAGCUGAAUUGAGGUUGCCUAUAAAACAUGGACUUAACCAAGAAAAGUUUAGAAUUGUAUGCAACUGAAAAGCAAAUGGCAAUGACAGCUGAAAAGAGAGUGCGAUCAGAGAACUUUUCUGAACAUGAGAAAAGUAUUAUAAAGCAAAUAGUUUUAUAAAGCAAGACCUCCUGUUACUGAAGAUAAACUGCGCACAUCAGCUGUUGAAUCAAAGAAAAGGGAUGCCUGGAAAUCUAUUUGUAAUGAAUUUAAUGCAAAUCAACACAUCUACAAGAACAAUGCAACAACUUCAGGUAAGAAUAAUCAGCUUUAUUAUGUGGCUUUUUUUUAAAUCACUGUUGUCAUUAUUUAAUACAGGUUUUGUGGAAGAAUAUAAAAAUAAACCUAAAGAAAACUGCUGCUGAAGCUCGAAGAGAGAGGUUUAAGACUGGUGGAGGACCUGCAAAUAAAGACGAGUUGGAUGAGUUACUGACAGGAAUAAUGGAGAACCAGCAGCCUUUGGAGAACAUACCAGAUGAUGACCGUCUAGAUAGUUCAGAUGAUGGAUCACACGCACCUAAGAGAAGGUCAGAACAGAACUGAAGAGAUGGAAGGCAGUUUACCCUCCACAUCCUCAGGAGCAAGGGUGGCAAUGUCUGCCAGUACUGGUCACCAGAAGAAAAGACUCCGUCCAUGAAAGGUUGGCUAAUGAAUUCCAUGAACACAAGUUGAAGUAUCUUAAGGAGGAGCAUGAAAUUAAGAGGAAGAUACUACAAGAAGAACUGGAGAUGAAGAUGGAGGAGAGAGAUGCAGCAGGCUCAAAAUGUCACAUCUAUACAUGAAUCUGUGAAAUAAAUAUUGUUUUAUUAAGUCAAGAUGGAAAUGAUGGUUUCAUAACAUAUAUGUUAAAAGUAUAAUGAUAUUUUGUCUGAUAUUUUAUUUGCUCAUUACAUGUAUCAGAUCUGAGCAGAAGGUUGAAAGGCAUAAAAUAUCUAUUUAAUGUGGCACAAUGCAAAAGCAUGUCUGUAUGCAAGUCCUUCUCUGAGGUCUGUUGUAAAUGGUGGCACAUCUGGAUUGUCAUCCUCUUCUAUUGGGGGAUCUGGGCAUCCCUGCUGUUUCAGGUAGUUGUGAAGAACAGCUGUUGCAAUGAUGACAGUGCAGCAUCUUCUUGGUUUGAAUCGGAGUGUUUUCCGAAGGCACUGAAAGCGACUCUUCCACGAACAUGUGCUCUACUAAACCCCUUGCGCGCAUAUGAGCCUGGUUGUAGCGUCGUUGUUCAGCCGUUUCUUCUGCGCAUACCCACUGUCGCCAAGCAAUACUCUUUCAAACUGAGUAUACAGAGAUGAGUUGAGGAAAAUUCAGGAAUCAUGAGUUGCAUCUUUCCAAUGUGCAACAAUGUUUGAGAACUGUAACUGGGGAGUGCAUACACCUUGGACAUUUAUGAAAAACCAAUUCUUUCAGUUCCUUAUUCCUCAGCAUCUGGAGUAGGGGGACGCUUAAUGGGAAUAUGGGUUCCAUCUAUGCAACCUAUGACUCCUGGGAAAUUUCCAUAUUCAUAGAAUAGUACCUUGUAGUUAGCCUGGGUUGUAGCAUCAGGGAAGUUGAUGUAAUAUGGUCUUAAUUCAUAAAUGGCCCUGCAUACUCGGUGAA